rnacentral:rRNA from 1 species
CAAUAGCGUAUACUAAAGUUGUUGCGAUUAAAAAGCUCGUAGUUGGAUCUCAGGCAUGGGCGCACGGUCCGCCUCGCGGCGGUCACUGUGUGUUUUGCUUCCCAUCCUACGCUUCCCGGUUAUCAGCCCAUGGUGCUCUUCACUGAGCGUUUUGGGUGGCCGGAACGUUUACUUUGAAGAAAUUAGAGUGUUCAAAGCAGGCACGUCGCCUGAAUAAUGGUGCAUGGAAUAAUGGAAUAGGACCUCGGUUCUAUUUUGCUGGUUUUCGGAACACGAGGUAAUGAUUAAGAGGGACAGACGGGGGCAUCCGUAUUGCGGUGUUAGAGGUGAAAUUCUUGGAUCAUCGCAAGACGAACAACUGCGAAAGCAUUUGCCAAGCAUGUUUUCAUUAG